UUUUCAUGUUUGUUUUUCUUGGUUUUCGGUGUGUAGAUUCAAGGAGUGCUUCUGAAUGCAUUUCAUGUGUCACUAACAUGAAGGCUGACAUCGAAGAUAAAAUGGAUAUUGAUCACAUAGGUGCUGCUCAUAAAAACAUGAAAGCUGGUUUGAAGGCUGAUGAAGAGGAGCAGAUUCCACCAAAUUUGGUCAAGGCGCCUGAUACAAAUAAACCAACAAAGAAGCGCAUCACACCCGUUGCUGUCAGCUAAGAGUUUUAUCAGUCUCAUGAGCAUCACAAGGUUGAUGUGCUUACAAGUGCACCAAAAAUUUCUGAAGAAGCAACUCAUUUAUUUUGCAUUUGAAUUAUGGAUGUAUGUGGAAAACCAAGGGAAACAAAGUGAUGAUGGAGAGAUUAUAUUAAAGCAAACCUUCCUUGCCUUGCCGAAGUUACCAUCAUUGGGAUGGGGUGAUCUUCUUUCUAUGGAUGGUGUUUAUUGAUUAUUCUCAUUAGGAUAAUGUUACUUCUCCGUUAUUGCUUUCUUUUUGAAGAUCCAAACUGUGUUCUUUUCUGCAGAGUUAGCCGCAAGUUGCUGUUUGCCCUGUAGUGAUGAAGUUUGUUGUAUGAUUAACUUACAUUCCUAAGAACCAUUUACAGUGUUGUUUUAUCUACUACUCCACCCAUGUACUUUAUCGCAGUGUAUUUAGCAAGUUAAUAUUUUUUUGUUGUCUUAUUAAUCAGUAUAUCGUUGUGUAACAAAGAUAUUGCAAAGAAAAAGCACUCAUUUACGGAA